rnacentral:tRNA from 1 species
GUGUACGUAAUUUAAAAAAAAUAUCAAGUUGUGACCUUGAAAA